CUCAUUUCAAGAUGCUGUAACUGUCAGUUUGCAUGUGUGCAAACAUCGACUCAAAAGCAAAAAGAAAGCAUUUUAGCUGAUGGUAGCAUACGCCCCUGGUCAUCACCUGCAGACUGGGGUAAACAUGUCUUAUCCCCCCCCCCGCCCCCCCUAAAAGAUGGAGAUAUAAGGUGGUUAUUUAAUUUAGAUAUUCAACUUAUUAUUUCCUACUAUCACACCAUUUAAAUGCCUUAUUCUAAGCCAUGAUGUAGGGAGUUGUUGAUUUGUGUUGUACAGUAUUAUCUUCAUUGGGCUUGAAUGGAGUUAAAUGCAUUAGAUGUUUAACGUCAUUAAAUUUACAAUGUAAAACAAUCCAGGGACAUCAUACUUAACCAUACAAAAAUCUGCCUCUUAGCAAUACAUUUGUAGCCUAUUCAACAUAAAUUAUUUUACGUUUUGCAUAUUUAAAUUAUGAAGAAUAAGCUGGUUUGACAAAGUUCAAAGACAAUGAAGUAAUGUUAAAUAUCUCUCUCUCUCUCUCUCUCUCUCUCUGUAUAUAUAUAUAUAUAUAUAUAUAUAUAUAUAUAUAUAUAUAUAUAUAUAUAUAUAUAUAUAUAUAUAUAUAUAUAUAUAUAUAUAUGGAAUUUAAGAAUUCUUUAUAAAUAUAACUAUAAAGAACAGGUUUUUCAGGACUCCUAUUCUUUAUUCUUUACAAUAAUUUCUUGUUUUAUCUGAAUGAAAUCCUCCAGCAUAGCUUUUAUCACAAGGAAAAUGUCUGAAGUAGCUGUUUGAAAGGUUAAGUUUACCUCUGAUUACCUGUGGACCUUUUUUGUUUCUUCUCUUCUUCAGGUUGACUGCUAAAGAACAGAUCUUAUUUUCACAACAAUUAUUUUUUAACUAAUAUAUUUAAAGAAAAGCGUCUUAUUGUACAUGUACAGCCUUGAAACAAAAAUAUCUAAGAUUCUUGACAACACUGCUUAACUAUAUUUUUCACAGAGCAGGUCUGUCUAUAGUCCAAGUAGCUAUCACACAGGUGGCUGUGUUUAAAUAUCUUUAGCUGCUUUAAAUGUACACGAUAGUCAUCUGUGCAAGAAUAGUGCUGCUCCUCACACUUCUUAUACUUUAUGUGAACGGAUUGACUGUCUUUCGUUCUCAAAUUGCAAACUGUCUGCUCGCUUUCAUCAUACAGUACACCUUUAUAAAUGUUAUUGUCAUUUCUGGACAAACGUGUGUCUCACAUCUAAGGUCUUUUUACUUAGAUCAGAGGCGAGCAGCCUUCCAAACUCUCUCGCCUUCACUGUGGCUGACGAAGCUUGUCUGUUGUUCAAAUCAUUUUAGUUAAAUGCCAAUAUCCACCGCGCUUUUAAAAAUCUGUACAAUAAUAUCAAAGCGAGCAUGUGUAAAGUUUAGCCUUUAGCUGCUAGAGGAACAACAGACAUGUUGCUUUUAAUUCCAGUGCUCAGACUGUAAUCUGAACAUCACUUUGGCCUUUGUUUACAUCAUCAUGGCCUCAGAGGGAAGCUCUCCGUUUAAUGAGGCCAUCGCGCCUGGAUGUUGACAGAGACUAUUCCUAUAACCACUUAGUUUUUGGAGCACUUCCACUGUGAAUCCAUCAGUAUUGUUUGUCUCCAAAGAUGACAUAAUUUAUGUCAGGGCUACGGUGCUCUACUUGAUCAUAUUAGGUCAGUUUUGAUGAGAUGAGCGAUGAUAGUUCCAAUCAUGCAACUUAACUUUAGCACGUACAGAGCUGAAUUUCUCUCAUUGGUUUAUUUAAAUAUAUUGUGAAUAUCUAAUGUCCUGUCAUAGCAGAAUUUAGUGUAUUAUGCUGUUACACCAGUGGGUAUUUGCAUAUUGUCUGCUUUGGUCUGUGUAAACUUUGUUCCAGCAUCCAUGCAAUGCAAUACCAGAAAGCAUUAAUUAUCCAGGCUGAGGUGACUGAUGUAGGCUUAGAGAGAUGCAUCAAUAGCCAACUGAUCACUGCCAACAUAGACUGUGAUUUUUGAAUUUAAUGUUUGGCUCAUAUGUGGCGGUAUUUGCUUACUAGAUAGCAAUAAAGUGUUGGGGUUGCUUGACACAAGAGACUGUGUGAAUAUAAUUGUCUUGUCUGUUAUCUAUUACAUUUGAACCUGUUGGUUUCGCGUCGCAAAAACUGUGAAAACUGUGGCGAUCCCACAGCCCUGUUAAUGCAACUGUCGAACUAGUUUUGCAAUAUAAAAAUGUCAUUUGUAGACGACAAAUCUGGAUGCUAUUUUUAUUCUGGCAUCUCCAACACUGCUGUUGCUAUUGGUGCAUCUCUACUACAAAGAAGAUGGGUCUGUGGUCUUAGAUUUUCACCAUAAUCAAUUCAUAACUCACUGAUAUAUAAGUAUGUAUGUAAAUGUGUUAAUGUUUCAUAUUGAAUGUCUUCCUGCUAUGUUGUGUGUACUUUGAAUCAUUUUAAAGGCAGACUUGAUGAAUUAGAAUGGUACAGGCUUGUUGUCCUUUGGUGCUGUAAAGUUUUAUCAAAAUAAUGUGUUUUAAAAAAAAAACCUGUUAAAGCAAACAAUUUUUUCUCCAGGAACAUUUGAGUAAAUGCUAUUGUUAGAAUUAGGAAUGUCACAAAUUGAUAUUUUCUCCCGAAAUGUUAAAGAUCAUCCCGAAUAUAUGCAUCAAAAUGUAAAAGAAAAACAAAACGUGAAAAUAAGGACUAUAUUGGACACUGUGUACACAAAUAUAGGUGUACUCUCAUCUUACUAAGCUAUGAGUUCACUUAGAGAUGUGUAAGAGAAGUUUAAGCUGGAGAGUGUAAGUGACUAUAAAAUAUGUAAACUCUGACGGUGAAGAAGGAGGCGACAUGAGAUAUUUUAGUGUUUGAUAACUUUUAAUAUGAGCGACUUAUGAUUGUAGUUGACUAAGAGAGUGCAGUCUAAUCCAGCAAGAGGAAGGAAAUGUGAUGUUGUAAAGCUUUUCUUGUCAAUAGUUACCGAACAAAAUGUUUGCCAUCGUUUGUCGUAUUUUUGCUUUUGCUCACCAUCGAAAGCCUAACUCACCUCUGUCGAUGACCAUUUUACAACAUUUCUUCCUUGAUCUGCUGUCUUGUCAGUGAUAUUUUUGAUUUCUGUAAUUCCUGUGCAACCAGUUUUUGCUGUAACAUCUACACCCCGAGGUAUUUUCUGCAAUGGAACGUAACCAUGUGCGCAUGUGUAGCUGAAACAUACCUUCAUUUCACGUUCGGGUUUUAAUGUAACUCAUUUUGUUUAAGGUUAAUAAAGGCAUUUUCGAUGGAAACCAAGUGUUCUGCGAGUUCCUGUAGCUCACAUCCACCCGGCAUGAUCUCUGAUAUCUGCGAUUUAGAGUACUGUGCCGUCAGUGUUAGGGCAGCUGCAGAGGUGUGCAUGUGUGCAAUCCCAAAGUGUCCGUUUUGUCGGUCGA
ensembl:lncRNA